rnacentral:lncRNA from 1 species
CUGCGAGGUGGUAUUUAAGUAUCUCGCGGUAGGCCUUCGGUCCCAUUUUUCCAAGGAGUUCGGUAAGUGUGUUGUAUGUUUGCGUUAUUUUUUAAAUCAAGUGAGCGAAGCACGCUUGAGCGUGUUAGGCUGGGUUUACUGGUUGGCGCGGGAGGGUUAAGAUCUUGGCCAUGGCCUUGAAUUCGCGGAGCCGCCGCCGAGCUUUGUAAAGGACAAAAAUGGCGACGCUGGGCCGUGGCGGCGGCCCUCUCUGUGAUGAGAACCUUUUCACAGACCUGUACUGAGCUCCGUGAGGAUAAGACUCUCUGAGGAGACGGGCCUUGCCCAGCCCAGGCCCAGCACAGUCGCAGCUCCGGAAGACCAAGCGAACGUGAAGUCACGGGUGUUGAUUUAAUGUCCCUUUGUCUGCAGGGUUCGGGCGCACCUUUGAACGCUGGAGAAUGGAGAAGAGCCGACUUGCGUGGAUGCGGUUCGGCUCUAAAGACCUUAGAGGUUUGAGAGCGAGACAAGGCCUGUCCCCUGAUCCCUGCAAACUAGGCCUCACUGUGAUGCUCCAGGUGGGUAUGAGGCGAUUUCUGCAGGUGUGGGUGGGCAUGGGGUCUGGUGGGGUUUGCUGUCGUCCAAAUUGUGCUGACCACUCAAUGAUGAACAUAAAAAAGACAAGCAUAUGGCUGAAUUUAAAGUGAUGUCAUCUUCCUGCUGAGAAGUGGGCCGGGAGUACUCCAGGGUCUGUGAGCGACUCUUCUUGGGUACAUCAUCAUGCCUUUCUUUUCUGCUCUAGCAUCUCAUCACUAGGCCUGAGGAACCCAACGGUCGGCCUGGGUGAAUACAGGUAAUUAAACUGUUCAAAUGGGGGAUUGGAGUGUCCUCUCCAGUUAUGCCUACAACCAGGAGAGCAAAUGGCCAGUGGAGCCGUGUUGCCUUUCUGCUCCUUCCUUGUUCUUCUUGGAAUGAUUUUGCCAUGGAGGGAGAGCAGCCCAACAGUACAGUUCUUGGGAGGUGUGCUCUCCCUCACCCAUGUCACUGUCAGAUGAUUUGAAUAGAUGUGCUGAUCCUCUGUGAGGUGCGACAAUUAAUAGCAUGUUAGAGUUCUGAUGGCAGUUUUUGUUAACGAAGAAACUUUGUUCCACUUUGUAUUUUUAGGUAAUCGUUUGUUCCCCUUUUGCAGGUUGUCCUGAAGGUGAUACAUUCAUCUGUUCUACAGUAAGUAGCUUCCGAGAGUACUGGGAUAAAUAAGCAUAUAUGUAAAAUCAGUAUCCAAAGGAUGGCUUUUAUCAUCGUGGCUGUUUUUGUUGUGACCAGAUACUUGUUUUUAUUUUAUGUAGACUCCAUUCCCAACGUGAGGCUCGAGCUCAAGAGUCCCAUGUUGCACAGACUGAGCCAGCCAGGGGUCCCUUGAUCUAUUUCCUCUAGAUGUUCAUUCAAGAUUCUGCCCAGCAUUGAACUCCUGGCAGGUGUUAAGGAUGGUGAGUACUUGUAACCUGAGUGGUUGUGGCUUGGCAGAGAAUGUGCCAGUGAGGAGAGCAAGCAUCCUGUCUUACCCCUGUCAUAGCCCCAGAGCCAGUAAUGGUGAACCCACUGGGGCUAACGGGGAGAGAGGAUGAGAAUUUGUUCCAUAAGGAACUGUCUGAGGUACAGCAUAUGCCUGUCAGUAGCAUUUUCUUAGCUUAAAUCUGUUGACCAUCGCUAGGAUGACUUGGCUGUUUUAGAUCCUUUACUAAUUCUGUAAUUUUCUCAUUCAGAAGCAGCUUGUUCCUGUGUGUUCCCCCAAAGCCUCCAGAGUUAACAGGUCAGUCGAUUAAUGUCUGUGGUUCAUGCCCCCAGAUAGGCAGUUUCUGUGAUGAAUCAAACUAGCUCACUAUGACUUACACAAUGAAAAUAAGUGAACACCUGAGAAACUGGUGAAGGCAGGAGCAGAGGGAUGCUAUGUGGAAGGGCUUUUUAUACACCUACACUUUUGUCUUUUUCUAGGUGCUGUUACCCAUAACCUGCUUGCUUGUUCAAAGGUGAGUUGUUUAUGUAUGUGGUACGUGGAGCAUAUCAGGUAGAAAAAAUAGCCUUUUGAGGGCUUAAAUGCAUGAUGACUUACAUGGAAUCUCGUUCGGCUGAUGACUUGCUGUUGAGACUCGGAAGUCUGAUUCUCCUAGGAAUGGUAAUUUUAAGUGGGAACAAUUUUUGUUGGAAGUAAGCAUUACUGACUCUGGUCUUAACUGUUUCAGGUCCAGUGCCUUUUGUGGAGCCCAAGAGUGACUUGAGGUAAAUGCCUUUGUAACAUUGUUUUUCAGCUGCUGUAUAAAAUUUGCCAGGUGUUUGUGGUGUGUGUGGGUGUUGGGUGGCAUUUUUCUUGGGUAGCUGUAAGAAGACCAGACUGGCUUACUGCAGAGUCUAGUCUCUUGUCUGUGGCCAUUCUGAACCACCUGCGCAACAAGCUCCCCCUCACCAGUGAUGAAUUCAAUACCGCCCCAGUCUGAUCACUGUGACUGAAAGGUAUUUUCUGAGCUGUGAGCUUGUCUUAGAAUGAAGUGACAGCAGUGGAACGUUUUAUCAAGUGACGUUCAAGCCAGUAGGAAGUUCAUGGACUACCUGGUGGUUACUGUAAAAUAUGCAUGCUGAAACUCAAAAAGCCUUUACAGAUACGCCUUUGCUCUAAGCAGCAGAGACCCCUAGGGGUGAUUAAGAGGCUUAGUUCUCAAUUAUUCUUUUGCAGGAACCCUGAGCCAUUUUUCUGCUGGACUCCAGUCGAAGUCAGAGGUGAGUAAAUCUAGGUGCGGGGUGGCCCAAACUAGAACUUCCCGGUGAAGAAAGAGUCACAUGUCCUACCUCCUGUCCUAGUCCCAGAGCCUGUAAAGGUGAACCCACUGGGGCUGGCUGGGGGAAAAGAGGAAACUUGUUCCAGAAGGAACUGUCUGAGGGAUCACAAGGGGUUUCUAAAUAUGGGAAAGAGUGAUAAAUCUCUUGUUGAAGUUGAAUGUAUUUGUUUUCCAGGUCUGAAGAAAGAACAAGGCCUGUAUCCUAGGUUAGUGUCUAUUUAAAUACUGGUGUUUAGAAUUUAAUAGAGAAAGAUAAGCAGAAAAGGUAUGCCUGGAGGAAGGUUUUUUUAAGGCGAACUAGUUUAAAGGGUAGGGUGAACAUAUUACAUUAUUACCUAGAAAGAAAAUUUCACUUUUUUUUUUUUUCUUCCUUCCCCCUCUAUAGGAAUCCAGUUCUUCAGGGAUAUCAAAAGGAAGUUUUCAGGUCAUUUUUUGUACAACCUAGUAGAAGUGAGCAUACAGUUGUUUAAACCUCUCUAAAUAAAAGUUUAAACUUUAUUGUUGUUCA